CAGUCUGCAGGCCCUGGGAGGAGGAAGCAGGGAGAACUUGCCUGAGGCCUGGGAAGGACAGGGCAGCCGAUCGGGGACACCCCGGGACAGGAGUCAGGAGGAGCCCUGUACCAGGGAGGAAUCGCCCGACAAGGACAAGCCGGAGCUGGGCCCAGUAUCACAGCUGCCCAGAGCUGCGUGGGGCUGAGGACCGAUGCCUAAUGGACAGGAAAGAGGCAUUACCACAACGCCUGAUCUUUGAAGGGUUGGAGAACCAGACUUCAAAUGAAAGAGAAGAACACUAACUCCUGGAGGUCGGUGAAGGAGGGAACAACAGACAUGACCCACACUAACCCAACGAUAAUUUAAACAACAAUCAACAGGGAAUCGUGGUAUUUUGCACCAGCUUUUUUUCAUUUUAAAUUUGUGCAUACAAGAUACAGGGCCAAAAUAGUGAAUGACAAACAUUUUCCUACUAACUUUAUUUUGCAGAUAACGAAGGGAUAUGUUUUGGUAUUGCCAAAAUCCCUUUUAUGGCAAUAGAGAUAUCCAGUUAAGGAGAUUAUUCUUGUAUAUACCCUAUACCAAUAUACAGUACUCACUCUUAAAGAUACACAAAGAGGCAUACACAUACACACACACACUUGACAUUUCUAAGAUUCCCAUCACUGUGGUAUCUAGGCAUCAUAACACAUGUGAAGUGCUUUAUUUCUUGUUGGAAUAGUGCAUCAUACUCCAAAGGAUCUGAA